rnacentral:misc_RNA from 1 species
AGAAAAAAGUCAUGUAUUCGGUCAUAGGAAUAAAAUUCAACUAGUAUAGGCUUGAAGUCAAAGGGAGGUUUGGAAUUCCAGUCAUUCUUUGGAAAAGACCUAUCGGUCAAAUGAAGAAGACAGUGACUUGGAGUCCAGUCUCGAGAGAUAGCACCAUCGAGUCGUCAAGCCAGCUUCUCCCAAUUCUUUAUGGGUCUGACAUGAUGAGCAUGGUAGAUGGCACAACAUCUGCCCCCAGUGAAAGCGUAAUGGUUGAUUCAAAA